AGCACCGGCGGACUGCUCAGUAACACGUGGACAACCUACCCUCGGGUGGGGGAUAACCUCGGGAAACUGAGGCUAAUACCCCAUAGGCCUCGGAUACUGGAAGGUUCCGAGACCGAAAGCUCCGGCGCCCGAGGAUGGGUCUGCGGCCUAUCAGGUAGUUGGUGGUGUAAAGGACCACCAAGCCUACGACGGGUACGGGCCCUGAGAGGGGGAGCCCGGAGAUGGACUCUGAGACACGAGUCCAGGCCCUACGGGGCGCAGCAGGCGCGAAACCUUCGCAAUGCGCGAAAGCGCGACGAGGGGAGCCCGAGUGCCCUUCCUUUCGGGAGGGCUUUUCUGGAGCCUAAAAAGCUCCAGGAAUAAGGGCUGGGCAAGACGGGUGCCAGCCGCCGCGGUAAUACCC
rnacentral:rRNA from 1 species